AUGGCAGUGAAACUGCCUAUGCUGCCUAAAGGAGACCACUCUGUGGACCUGGCAAACAUCACUAACUACCUCAUUGAAGAAAAGCUAAUGAGGCCCCUCAGGGACCUCUACAACAUCAACCCAGUAGCUGAGUAUUAUAGAAUCAAACAGAGGAUGAUGGAGAGUCCCUUUGAAUAUCAUGCUGUGCUGAUGGGCAAAAAGCACGUUAGGACUUUUGAUGGAAGAAUGUAUGAUCUGACAUCGAAGUGCAGUGUGCUUCUUGCCAAGGAUUUUGUUCACAAUACCUUUACUGUAGUGCUGAACCAGGAGAGUAGUGGCUUGAGAUCAUUGCACGUGGAGAUGAACCGGACUACCAUUGAUAUCUACCCAGGACUGAAGACAUACAAGAUGUAUAAUUUUUCCCUGAUGGAAGAGAACUGCCUCAGUCUUGAUCAAUCCCUUGAAAUGAACGGCAUCACCGUGAGAAAAGAAGCUAACAGAAUAGAAGUAUUGAAUGAGAAUGGAAUUUCUGUCUCCUGCGACUUUCACUAUGAUCUCUGUACUGUUACCCUGGAUGGAUGGCAUCAUGGUGUAUCAGCUGGUCUUUUUGGUACCAAUGAUAAUGAAGCUGGAAAUGAAUGGAUGCUUCCCAAUCACUCCUACACUGAUAGCGUGAAGGAAUUUACACGGAGCUGGCAGCAUCUUUGGAGUGCUGAACACUGCCAAGAAGAAUCUAUAGAUGACUUUAGCUGAACUCUGUGUGCUGCUUGCAGUCAGUUUGACUCCUAUCCCGUUCAGAAAAAGUAAUAAAAAGAUUGACUUGCUGAUAAUGUACCA
rnacentral:lncRNA from 1 species